rnacentral:rRNA from 1 species
UACAGAGGUCUCAAGCGUUAAUCGGAAUUAUUGGGCGUAAAGAGCGUGUAGGCGGCCCGAUUAGUCCGCUGUGAAAGUCCAGGGCUCAACCCUGGAAUGCCGGUGGAUACUGUCGGGCUAGAGUCCGGAAGGGGCGAGUGGAAUUCCUGGUGUAGCGGUGAAAUGCGCAGAUAUCAGGAAGAACACCGAUGGCGAAGGCAGUUCUCUGGGACGGUACUGACGCUGAGACGCGAAAGCGUGGGGAGCGAACAGG